AUUGAACGCUGGCGGCAUGCCUUACACAUGCAAGUCGAACGGUAACGCGGGGCAACCUGGCGACGAGUGGCGAACGGGUGAGUAACGCAUCGGAACGUACCCAAUAGUGGGGGAUAGCCCGGCGAAAGCCGGAUUAAUACCGCAUACGACCUACGGGUGAAAGCGGGGGAUCGCAAGACCUCGCGCUAUUGGAGCGCCCGAUGUCAGAUUAGGUAGUUGGUGAGGUAAAGGCUCACCAAGCCUUCGAUCUGUAGCUGGUCUGAGAGGACGACCAGCCACACUGGGACUGAGACACGGCCCAGACUCCUACGGGAGGCAGCAGUGGGGAAUUUUGNACAAUGGGCGCAAGCGUGAUCCAGCCAUGCCGCGUGCGGGAAGAAGGCNUUCGGGUUGUAAACCGCUUUUGUCAGGGAGAACACUCUGGCUAAUACCUCGGGUAAUGACGUACCU
rnacentral:rRNA from 1 species